rnacentral:rRNA from 1 species
UACGAAGGGUGCAAGCGUUGCUCGGAAUUAUUGGGCGUAAAGGGUAGGUAGGUGGUCUGAUUUGUCUGAGGUGAAAGCCCGGGGCUCAACCCCGGAAGUGCCUUAGAAACGGUUAGACUAGAGUACUGGAGAGGGUCGCGGAAUUCCUGGUGUAGCGGUGAAAUGCGUAGAGAUCAGGAGGAACAUCAGAGGCGAAGGCGGCGGCCUGGACAGGUACUGACACUCAACUACGAAAGCGUGGGUAGCAAACAGG